CAAGUCGAACGGCAGCACGGGAGCUUGCUCCUGGUGGCGAGUGGCGGACGGGUGAGUAACACGUAGGAAUCUGCCUAAUAGUGGGGGAUAACCCGGGGAAACUCGGGCUAAUACCGCAUACGCUCUACGGAGGAAAGCGGGGGAUCUUCGGACCUCGCGCUAUUAGAUGAGCCUGCGUCCGAUUAGCUAGUUGGCGGGGUAAAGGCCCACCAAGGCGACGAUCGGUAGCUGGUCUGAGAGGACGAUCAGCCACACUGGAACUGAGACACGGUCCAGACUCCUACGGGAGGCAGCAGUGGGGAAUAUUGGACAAUGGGCGCAAGCCUGAUCCAGCAAUGCCGCGUGUGUGAAGAAGGCCUGCGGGUUGUAAAGCACUUUAAGCAGGAAAGAAGGCUUCAGAGUUAAUACCUCUGGAGAUUGACGUUACCUGCAGAAUAAGCACCGGCUAACUCCGUGCCAGCAGCCGCGGUAAUACGGAGGGUGCGAGCGUUAAUCGGAAUUACUGGGCGUAAAGCGCGCGUAGGCGGUUUGUUAAGUCCGCUGUGAAAGCCCUGGGCUCAACCUGGGAACUGCAGUGGAUACUGGCAGGCUAGAGUAUGGUAGAGGAGAGUGGAAUUUCCGGUGUAGCAGUGAAAUGCGUAGAGAUCGGAAGGAACACCAGUGGCGAAGGCGGCUCUCUGGACCAAUACUGACGCUGAGGUGCGAAAGCGUGGGGAGCAAACAGGAUUAGAUACCCUGGGUAGUCCACGCCGUAAACGAUGAGAACUAGCCGUUGGGUCCCUUUGGGGAUUUAGUGGCGCAGCUAACGCGAUAAGUUCUCCGCCUGGGGAGUACGGCCGCAAGGUUAAACUCAAAUGAAUUGACGG
rnacentral:rRNA from 1 species